rnacentral:rRNA from 1 species
UACAGAGGUCUCAAGCGUUGUUCGGAUUCAUUGGGCGUAAAGGGUGCGUAGGUGGCGGGGUAAGUCAGGUGUGAAAUCUCGAGGCUCAACCUCGAAACUGCACUUGAUACUGCUUUGCUAGAGUACUGGAGAGGAGAUUGGAAUUUACGGUGUAGCAGUGAAAUGCGUAGAUAUCGUAAGGAAGACCAGUGGCGAAGGCGAAUCUCUGGACAGUUACUGACACUGAGGCACGAAGGCCAGGGGAGCAAACGGG